CGAGCCCCAAACCGAGCGCUCCUGUUUUAUUGGCCGGUCCGAGGGCAGACACCGGCCCGCCCAUUGAAAGCAGCACACAGAGGGGUGGAGGAUAAGUCAUUCAUCGACCAGAGGAAACAAACGUCUGAAACCCAGGUGCCACUCCGAACCCGAGCUGAUCGAUGAAGGACGGCUCGUCCUGACUGUGGAUCUGAACUUUGAUCCCAGCUUCAAAUGACGUCUCAUCUGCAGCAAGCCAAACAAUGUUGGAUCAGAGGAACAUGUUGUGAAAAUGUGUCUCACUAAUGAAUCCAGACACUUAAAAGAGGAUCUUGUCUUUGAGUCUCUCACUCUGAGUGACGGCUAGAAAGGAAAUUCAGGGCAGAGAGAGAGAGCGAGAGGAUGACAUGCAGCAAAGGACCCAGCCUGGAAGCAAUCUGAGUGCCUGCAGUAAGGACGUUUGCCCUGAUACAUGGUGCGAGCGCUCAACCAGGUGCUACCCCAGCUACUUUGCUUUAAAUCGAUAUAUUGUGUCAAAUUAUUGCUGAUUUUAUUGAUUCUCAUUUAAUUGCAUCAACAGUAGUCCAGAGUCUAUCCGUGGCAGCAGAUGAUGAUGUGAAGAAAGAACAAACUUUUGUCAUACAAAUAUGUGAAAUUUUGUAUAAUUUGAACUUUUUAGGCCUCAAGUUCAGAGGCAAUGUUUCUCUUUCUUUUUUAAUAUUAAAACAUGUUUGGGCUUUUUCACCUUUAUUUCACAGACAAAGGCUGAAGGCAGACAGGAAGGAUGCAAAGGGCCACAGGUUGGAAUUGAGCCAUGGUCGCUGCAACGAGGACUUUUAGCCUUGGUACAAGGUGUACACGAGAAAUGUUUUCUUUGGUGGAUUUCUUAACAAUACAUAGGUAUCAGAAUUCAGAAUCUGUUUCUUUUAUUAUGUUUUGAUUGAGCACACACAUAGAUGAAUGUGCCCACAUGCACCCAUGCAUUUGUCCAGAUUCUUAGUACAACGCAUACCACUCUGUCAGUAAAUAAAAAUGUAACCUUCAUCAUGAUCCUUCCUCAUUCUUAAACCUCAGCAAAAUAUUAUUUUGUAUAUUAUCUUGAAAUGGUUAAUAUUUGUGCUUUCUUUGA